AAGAAACGCCAGAGUCCUCUUUAGACUUAGCGACUUAGACCUGGGCGACUUCUGGGACAGGGAACAUGGGGAUUUCCUCACCUGGCACCGCCGGGGUCAGCCUGACACGCUUCCUAGACUUUGAACUGGGGGAAUUUCCCGGCCCCUGCUAGGACUGGUUUAGGGACAGUUUACAGGAAUUGCCGUGGGCCUCCUGUUCUCGGGCUGCGCUCCCUGCCCUGUCUGGAGGCUCCUUGGCUCAUAUCGAGAAUGUUGUGGCAAGUGGAGUCUCUACUCUUCAUUGAGACUUUGCCAAAGGUUUGCAGAGAUGGAGACAUUUACAUCCCAGCACCACAGGCGAUUUGAAGUAAGCAUGGACACCUUCUCUUGAGCAGUUUCCAUUCCCACCACCUGGCCCAGCUUCCCCCAUCUCCACCUCCCAGCUGCCCUGGCCGCCCAGCUCCAGGCCUCCUGCUCGUGGACAAAGAACCAGAUCCCUCUGCCAUCUCAGGCAGAGCAGCACACUCUUCUCGGCCACAACCCCGUCCUCAGUUAGGUCCCCAACAGAGCACAGCCAGGGGCCCUCAGGCAGCCUGCACAGCUUCUAAACUAGAUUCAGAUCCCAGCGCUUUAGGCUGAGGCCUCAAGCCUGUCCUUUCCGGGCCCACCCUCUCUCCAGCUGCUGCCCUCAGGCUGCCAUCACCUCCUCCAGACGCUCCGUCACCCCCUGGAGGCCUCCGCUUCAUGGCAAAAAUCCUGGGCUGAACGAGGGGACGUCUACACUCUAAUUUCUUUCUCUGUCCCUGCAGAGCCACUACCCUCUAAGUUCCCUAACUGCAGUGAUUCGAUAGGAAUCCUGCCUCCCCUUAGAAGACAGAAACACCGACAGACCGUUUUGGGUCCUAAAUAAUAAAAAUUUUCCCCUCUCUGCUACUGCUACCUGCCAGUCUGGAUCAAUUCACACUGAUCUGGUGGGUGGAUCAAUUCACACUGAUCUGGUGGGUGGGUCUGUGA